UACGUAGGGGGCGAGCGUUGUCCGGAUUUAUUGGGCGUAAAGAGCGUGUAGGCGGCCAGGUAGGUCUGCUGUGAAAACUCGAGGCUCAACCUCGAGACGUCGGCGGAAACCAUCUGGCUAGAGUCCGGAAGAGGAGAGUGGAAUUCCUGGUGUAGCGGUGAAAUGCGCAGAUAUCUGGAGGAAUACCGGUGGCGAAGGCGGCAUCCUGGACCGAGAUUGACGCUGAUGAGCGAAAGCUAGGGGAGCAAACGGG
rnacentral:rRNA from 1 species